rnacentral:rRNA from 1 species
CUAAGAGCGUACGGUGGAUGCCUUGGCACUAGGCGCCGAUGAAAGACGUGAUAAGCUGCGAUAAGCUCCGGGGAGUUGCAAAUGAACUGCGAUCCGGAGAUUUCUGAAUGUGGAAACACGCUGUGAGGUAAUGCUCCAGCAUCUGCACAUGAAUACAUAGUGUGUAUGAAGGGAACCCAGGGAACUGAACCAUCUAAGUACCUGGAGGAAAAGAAAAUAAAUCAAUGAUUUCCUAAGUAGUGGCGAGCGAACGGGAAAGAGCCCAAACCAUAUGUUUACAUAAUGGGGUUUAGGACCCACAUAUAGUUAGCUCAUUUAACUAGUCGAACAGUGUUGGAAAGCACGACAAAAUAAAGUAAUAGUCUUGUAGACGAAAGUUAAAUGGCGACUGUGGUGUUCCAGAGUAGGACCGGACACGUGAAAUCCGGUUUGAAGAUAGGAGACCCAUCUCCAAAGGCUAAAUACGACCUAGUGACCGAUAGAGUAUAGUACCGUGAGGGAAAGGUGAAAAGUACCCCGGGAGGGGGGUGAAAUAGUACCUGAAACCGUAUGCUUACAAGCAGAUAGAGCACUACUUUUAGUGUGAUAUCGUACUUUUUGUAGAACGGGCCUGCGAGUUAUGAUGUGUAGCGAGGUUAAGAAAUUAAGUUUCGGAGCCGUAGCGAAAGCGAGUUUGAAUAGAGCGAAUUAGUUGCAUGUCAUAGACCCGAAACCGAUUGACCUAUCCAUGAGCAGGUUGAAGCGGUGGUAACACACCGUGGAGGACCGAACACACUCCUGUUGAAAUAGUAGGUGAUGACUUGUGGAUAGCGGAGAAAUUCCAAACGAAAUCGGAGAUAGCUGGUUCUCCUCGAAAUAGCUUUAGGGCUAGCCUCGGUUUAUAGAUUGUCGGGGGUAGAGCUCUGAAUGGCGCAGGGGGGAGUGAUCCCUCUCAGGCCUAUCAAACUCCAAAUACCGAUCAAUUGUUUGCCGGGAGUCAGACAGCGAGAGAUAAGUUCCGUUGUCAAAAGGGAAACAGCCCAGAUCCACAGCUAAGGACCCUAAAUGUAAGUUAAGUGUAAAAGGAUGUGUUGCCGCUUAAACAACCAGGAUGUUGGCUCAGAAGCAGCCACUCAUUUAAAGAGUGCGUAAUAGCUCACUGGUCGAGUAGCGAUGCGCCGACAAUGUAACGGGGCUCAAACUUACUUCCGAAGCUUGGGGAACGUAGUAAUACGUUCGGUAGAGGAGCAAUGUAUGUUGGGUUGAAGCCAUAUCGAAAGGGGUGGUGGACUACAUACAAGAGAGAAUGCAGGCAUGAGUAGCGAGAGCAAAGUGAGAAACUUUGCCGUCGAAUGUCCAAGGUUUCCUGGGGAAGGUUCGUCCUCCCAGGGUAAGUCAGGACCUAAGGCGAGGCCGAAAGGCGUAGUCGAUGGAUAACUGGUAGAUAUUCCAGUACUUCCGUAUAGCGAUUAAGACCGAUGCAGGGACACAGGAGGAUAGUUAGUCCCCGGGGGUGGAAAACCGGGGUUAAAUCAUGAGGCCGAUGUGCAGUUAAGUACACACAUCAUACGGCUAGGUGAUGAAUAGGACUGAAUUUAGUAGGGAAGCUAACGAAUUCACACUGGCGAGAAAAUCUGCUAAGGAGCUAUAAGGAACCUGUACCGCAAACCGACACAGGUGGACGAUGAGAGAAUCAUAAGACGGACGGGAUAACCAUUGUUAAGGAACUAGGCAAAAUGACCCCGUAACUUCGGGAUAAGGGGUGCCUGCUAGUGAUAGCAGGCCGCAGCGAAACGGCCCAAGCGACUGUUUAUCAAAAACACAGGUUUCUGCGAAAGCGCAAGCUGACGUAUAGGAGCUGACACCUGCCCAGUGCUGGAAGGUCAAGGGGAACUGUCAGGAAUUAAAUCCAAAGCAGCGAACUUAAGCCCCAGUGAACGGCGGCCGUAACUAUAACGGUCCUAAGGUAGCGAAAUUCCUUGUCGGGUAAGUUCCGACCCGCAUGAAAGGUGUAACGAUUUGGGCGCUGUCUCAACAGUGGACCCGGCGAAAUUGUAGUAUACGUGAAGAUGCGUAUUACCCGUGACUGGACGGAAAGACCCCGUAGAGCUUUACUGUAUCCUGAUACUGACUUCUGGAAAUAAUCGUAUAGAAUAGGUGGGAGGCUGUGAUACACAGAUCCAAGUUUGUGAGGAGCCACCUUUGAAAUACCACCCCUUUGUUUUCGGAAUUCUAACGCUGCACCUUUGAUCAGGUGAGCGGACCAUGUCAGGUGGGCAGUUUGACUGGGGCGGUCGCCUCCUAAAUUGUAACGGAGGCGUCCAAAGGUUCCCUCAGAAUGGUUGGAAAUCAUUCGCAGAGUAUAAAGGCAUAAGGGAGCUUGACUGCGAGACUUACAAGUCAAGCAGAUACGAAAGUAGGGCUUAGUGAUCCGGCGGUAGAGAAUGGAAUUGCCGUCGCUUAUCGGAUAAAAGUUACCUCGGGGAUAACAGGCUGAUCUUAUCCAAGCGUACACAGCGACGAUAAGGUUUGGCACCUCGAUGUCGGCUCGUCAUAUCCUGGGGCUGAAGUUGGUCCCAAGGGUUCGGCUGUUCGCCGAUUAAAAUGGCACGCGAGCUGGGUUCAGAACGUCGUGAGACAGUUCGGUCCCUAUCCAUCAUGGGCGUAAGAUAUUUGAGAGGAUCUGCUCCUAGUACGCAAGGACCAGAGUGGACGCACCUACUGUGCAUCGGUUGUUUCGCCAGAAGCAUAGCCGAGUAGCGGAGUGCGGGAAAGAUAAGCGCUGAAAGCAUAUAAGCGCGAAACUUGCCUCAAGAUAAGAUAUCUCAUAUCAUAAGAUAGUAAGACCCCUUGUAGACGACAAGGUUGAUAGGUCAGGGGUGGAAGUGCAGUAAUGCAUGGAGCUGACUGAUACUAAUAGGUCGAGGGCUUUAUCA